rnacentral:tRNA from 1 species
GCGGGAAUAGCUCAGUUGGUAGAGUGCAACCUUGCCAAGGUUGAGGUCGCGAGUUCGAGUCUCGUUUCCCGCUCCA